AUGUAGUGUUUCCCUAUAAAUAAUCACAUAAGGAGCUAUGAGAUGGACGUGUCCUUGCUAGAAAAGCAGGAAGCAACAGAUGUCUUGAGGGGUGAAAUUCUUCGGGUAUAAUCCAACAGUUGACCAGUUGACUAGACAGAUGAGCAAGUUGCUUGGUAUAAAAGAUUCUGAUGGCGAAGAGAAAAGUUGUGCUUCUAGAGAUCCUCCAUGGAUAUGGUGCUUCUUAAUGUGCUAUUAUUUGGACAAAAAAGAUCCAUGGGGGAGUAGGAGGUAUAGGAUAAUCGACACCCGCUUGGUUGAUUGAAGAAAGAAGACCUUUCUAUCAUGUGACAUUUUGUAAAUACUGCACUCUUCUUCAAGUGACAGACCAAAUGCUAAUUGCGAAUAACACUUUGUAAUGGUGACAUGGGUAGUUAGUCAUGUAAUAUCCUCGAAUUUGGCUUAUCUAGAAGUGAAGAUUGAAGGGGUA